AGAAAUGAGAAAUUGAUUAUAUCUGCUUAUUCGGACAGCGAAUGGGACGAGUGGCAACCCAUGCAUUCUGCCUGUUGACAACACCAGACAGACCAGCAGGAAGUCAUGUGAGCAGGUGCUGUAAUGGGCAGACCGAUACAUCAUGCUACCAGCACAAAACAGAGAAAGACAAUCACUCUGGCCAACUACGUGGAGAAUGGGCUUGAGGGGACCUUCUAUUGAAGAAAUAAUACUACAUAUUAG